UACUUCGUUUACUAGUUUCAACGUGACGUUGUCACAGUCUAUACGGUUGAACGAUUUGAACUAUCUCAAGGGAUGGGUCCAGACAACGUCGGAAAUGGAUAUGGAAGUGUCGGCACCCUUUACUACUGUUACCUAAAGUAUCUUCCUAACGGACAAAGUGUCGUAAUGUUGACGUAAAAUCACUAACACCUGUUUGAUUGAUUCAUACCCGUGAAGUAACGAGAGUUCGUGGGAAUGUGUCGAUGGUGUCACCGUCUUGUUAAGAACCUAGCACACACGGCAGACGUACCGGAAGGACAUAGCGACCAAAGACUAGCACUAGGUCAAAAAUGGUCGAGCAAAACCUUUCUCCACACGUUGUUUUGUCCAUAAUUUGACGCGUACUCAAGCCCAGUUGUAGGAGUCUGACUGCUCGUUUGGCUUGCCCACUUGGUCGUCCACCUUCCCAUAGAGUCUACAAAAUAGUCGCGGGCAGGCUUAGCAACCAAGUCGACCGAGGGCGAGACACUUAACACCAUAUUAUGUUUAACCGUGAGAAGCUGACCGGCAUGAGGUAAACUUGACCAGAUACCCGUGGGAGGGGUAAUAAAACCGUAUAGAGGUCACCUGCGACAACCGUCAAGUCUGCGAGUUGUCACCAACGCACUGUCCGUACACUAGUACCUCAGUCAAUUUGUUGUAAACAAUGCAUACGUCUUCGCUUACUUCUAAGUCCGACUAUUUGUGGCUUGCCUUUCUACAAAGCUCCAUCCGCUGUGCCACAAGCAGUUGUACGUUGGCAUGUAAGUCGGAAGAUAGCGGGGAGCGCGUUUAGUGUUCGACCGAAAGUUUAUGAAACCUGGAAAACUUUAUGACCGGGCCUAGCCACGUCACCGAAUGUUCGACUUCGACGGCCUGUUGACGUCUCAUGUGGAUCAAAAAGUACAGAGGAACGAGUUCGCGGUACAGUUUGGUCUGGUCGUCCAUAACGGACAAGAAGGAAGUUGUAGUUGAGUGGACGUCCAAGGCAGAAUGAAGUAGCUAGCAGUGAACCAAAGCGCACCCCUGUUCUACCACCGAGUUCAUGACCAGUUCACCUCGGUAAGAGGUCGUAGCAGCCGUUGGACCCUUCGGGUUCUGUACGACUUCGUUGUUAAAGGUGCGCGUGGCCGAACCCCCGUUCGGCAAAAGGAAGAUCCCCCCUAACAAUCGUCGUGACUGGUCCUGUGUAGCUGUUAUGGACUUAGCGAUGUUUUCCUAGGCCGUUCGCGUCUUGUCCGCUCCGGGUUCUCCUCUCGGGUCCGCGGCUGUUCCAACGCUCCGGGUAUUACCCGGGCGAUCAGUGACGGAUAUACUACUGAACAGGAACAAGACAUUGCCCACCGACCGCCGAAACCGGCUCCUUACCAAUCCUAUCGACCGCACUCACUUAACCGACAUUAGAAGGAGGAGAGAGCAACUUUGAGCGUACUUGUCUCGACUCUAGACUCACUUAAGUAUUAAUUAAAGCUCUCUUGGUUCGAACCCGAAUGUGACGUCGUAGGCUCGCGUCGGCGACCGCACACGCUCGGCGGCGGCGCACGACCGGGGGCGCAUACGACCGGCGCAUGCACGAACGACACCCGCAGGUUCCGGUUACCUCCGGCGGCGGAAGUCGAGCGAGAACGGGACGACGGAAGUUACGGAGAUAGUUUAAGAGGCGGGUAAAGAACGUCUAAUAAGACACAUAUACAGAUGUUCCACGAGCUACUUUCAGGUUUGUCGGAUGUCCCCUUCUAAUGAAGGAAAAAUACGAAAAGACACAUGAGUUAUUAAGAAAGAAGAAGAAGAUUUUACAUCGACGUCAGUAGUUGUUUAAUCUGGGGCGUUCAAGAAGGGGUUUUACAUCACAUGUACGUUCUAAUUAUGUAAUAGCUUUUAUACGUUUCGUGAAAUUUAUCUACAACGUUUCGUAAAAUUUAUCUACAACAUACAAAUGAGGGAUCCAAAUGACAUAUAACUCUACGUUAUGUGUAUACACUUGGUCACUAUACAUACUGUAAAAGUUAUCUCUAUGAGAAACAGAAGUGGUAAAUGAUAAUCUGUACUUUUCGUAGUCGAUAUAUCAUGAGGGAGGCAAGGCUUAAUGAACAGAACCUAAACAGAUCUAUGCCUACAUAGAUCUGAGUAAAAUCACGAUCUAUGGAGGCAUAGAUCUAUUUAGGUUCUGUUUAUUAAGCCUUGCCUCCCUCAUAAUAAGUAACCUAUAUGACAUACAAUCGUGUGUUCCAUGUUGAGAUACUUUUUGUUGUUGACCUAUAAUACGUAGAAUAGUUUAACAAUUGAGAACUCCUCAAAUUGAAUUUUUCGAUAAAAGCGUUGAUAACCAUGAUGACAUCAGACAUCUACACGUCUCUAGUAAGAUCCCCAUAAUUCUAAUCAAAAGGUUUGGUACACAUUUAGAUUUAAGAUCCACACGUCUCUAGAUAAAAGGGUUGAUAACCAUGAUAACAUCAGACAUCUCCGCAUCUAUAGAUAACGAUCGUUAGAUUUAAAGAUCUAGUCGUCGAACCAGAAUUCGAAUGUUUUCUGAUGAAACAGACUCGUUAUUAUCCUACAUUAACAAAACUCACGAUCUGUACCCACAAGCAUCUUAAAACAGGAGUGAAGAACCGGGGUUAAGUCUAAUCAAAAAAAGAAGAGUGCUCACAAUCAAGUAAACCACGAAAACGACAGUAUGAAUCUCGGGACCAAGUCUUAUCAAAAAAAGGAAGGUCAAGUCCGAUCACUAAAAACAUAUAGUUAAAACACAAGUGUUAAAACGCAGUCUGGUAUCUUCCUAAAACAGAGUACGAAACCGACAGAAUGAGAUAAAAGAUACGUUUAAAAUCUAGCGGUCAAGCCUAGUACUAGUAGUACAGGAGGUUGAUGGUACAUAAGAAUGUAAUAACGUAAUAACAAAAUAAUCCUAUCUCUAUGAUUGAGUCAAGCCGCGAUCUCGGUGACUAAACAUAGACUAUUAAGAGACUCAACUCCAGGAUUAUAGGUAUGAUUAUAACCAACCAGACUAGGUCACAUCUGAACACCCUGAGUAAUAGGAUAAAAAAUGAUACUCCAGACAAGAAGUAAACAAAAAGAUCGUUUACCUUGUUGUAAGAUACGUUGAAAGUUUGUAGACUUAUUUGAGAAAUAGAAAUCGGGUGCAUGCAUACCACCAACAAGUGAGAAACCACAAAACAAAGGAAAGAAGACUUGUUUGUCCUUUGGGGACACGUUGAGAGUUGUUUGUCUUGUAUACAUAGGAAGACUACCCAAGUAUCGCAGGAGGCGACGACGGAACAGCGAGAAGCAACUGCGAAGUACACCAACAAAUAGUCCCAGGGACCCGCACACCCCCCCACAAACACCGCAGCCCGAGUUAGGUGCUCAGCGGCCUCAGGUAGCCGCACUGCGUGGACGACCUCUUCGACCGCAAACUCCUGUGCCGCGGCCUCGGUGUACGUCUAGCACGUCCUCCAUCUCCGGUGUCCCCCGUUGCAGCCGCGGAGGCGCAGGUCGACCGGGAAUGAGCUCUUCUCCAGGUCCUCCCUGUCUUCUUGGGACUCUCCAAAGAAGUCCUUGAUGAAUUGGAACAACCUAUACUCCCCCACUAGCGCUUGGGCGACUAUCGAGGGUUCCUCCGAGAACCCUAGUAGUUACGGCUAUAAUAAGUCUUCAAGAUAGUAUACUGUGUACAACGUGACCGAAAACUUCACGGUCCGCUAACCGAAGUUCUUUCUCUACCAUGUUAAUACCGACAGUAUGUCCAACAAACCCGACGACGUCUACGGCCGAAUAGAGAACGUCUACAACGACGUCUUCGUUUUGUACGUAGACUCCGACAACCAUGCUACCCUCAUCGUGAAGAACAAACGUGCAACGGACCCGUUCACUGUAGACUAACAAAUCCAGGACUCUUUUAACUCGAACCGGAACCUUAACAAUUUGGUAACAGUCAGCAAACAGGUCUUAGAAAGGAAGUAUACAAAGUCUGUUUAGUUCCGUUGAUAAAAGAAUUUCCUGUUUUCCCGGUCCGGAGGGCAGGCGCAGCGCGGCGGCGGCCGUACCUCGACCAAUUCCGGUGAGUAAAGGUACCGUCCCAGACUUUCGACCCUUGUUCUUUGUCUUCGGGAGACAGUACCUAUAGGAUGACUUAAACGUAGAAUAAAGGUAAUGACGGUGAGUGACGCGAAACCUGAUAGGCAUAGAGUUCAGUAACAGAUCUCUGGUAAAAUAACCUCUCCAAACUAACAUAAAAAAUAACCUGCUAAGACUUCAUAUUUGUUAAUCUACUGGUCACGAGGUGGCGCGCGAUACCCACAAUCCCGGGCCGUCCUCCUGUUCCGAGACCCUACCGAAGGUACCGUUUGUCUGUCAAUCCCUUCAUCACUCGUCCCGUGUCAUACACCGUCCCGGCUCAAGAGGUUGAGGACGAAGGUAGUGUACUUCCUACCACAUACAGGUACGCCGCUGAUGACCAUCUAAGUCACGACUUACCGUUGGUCCUCGAGUUCUCACUGUUCCUGCAGAUAUAGUUGUGAAGUUACACAGCUACCGCACACCAUCUGCGUACUCGAGGAGUAGAUGCAGCUGGAGGUGACGCCGAGUACGUCGCAAACUGGCCUGCCAUUACCGCGUCUUCUCGUAAAGAUAUUCCCGUUGAUUAUCGUCUCCAAUUUUAAACUCGUACGAAACUUUAAUGUCCUUUUAACUCAUCACCCAAGGUCAAUCCCCGUGUUUACAUUAACAGGGACUUUAUAAACCACCUAAAGUUUUGCUUUAUUCGAUUCUGACCGACGUAACGAUUCCAGGACUUCCCUUUUUCCUUUAAUUUUAGAGUGAACCAUUUAGUAACCAGUUUACAAAAAAGGUAGUAACUUAUUGGAAACACAACAAACAAGUACAUUAGCUGGUUUGGUAAACAAAAUCUCUAGUACAUUAUUAACAAAAAACCAUAUAUGAAAAAAAUCGUACUCAAAGAUAAUUAACUAUUCUGAUACUAUGUAAAGUAAAAAAACAACUCCGUUUCUAUAAAGUAAAACAAACGAUACGGUCUAGAUGUUUAUACCAACAGGAACUUGUAAUGGAACCCCACGGAACCCGUAACUAUGCAGAGGUUGCAUAGAUUAAAAAAAAUAACAAAGUACAAUAAUAUAAUAGACAAAACCUACAAAAUAUACGUAAUUAUACAACAAAAUAUAAUAAAAACCCUGAUUGGAUAAUUGGAUCUCGGAUCACGGUCAAGAACAAAAAAGUAACAAAAUCUCAAAGCGUCUUUUCCUUAUGGUUUGCCUCAGGUUUACCUUACUUUAAAAGUGUUACUAAAAAGAACCUGGUUUUCUGUAGGUCUCCCGAACCUCACGUGCAGCUCUUUCAGUACUCCGCCGGUGUUCCAGCCCUCCGCGAGGGUCCCCCAUCCCGCGCGGGGGGUGGGAAGACCCGGGGAGUACUGAGAUGGCUGGAUAAAGAAGGCGGAUAUAUAAGAGUCACUUCCUUUAUACGGGAUCUCCGUUAUUAUUUCAACAAUUAAUAAAGGAAUAUAGUACUAUCUACAAAUAAUAAGUACGAUCUUAACAUAAUUGACCUUUGAAUUAUAUACACACUUAUGUAUCUGUUUUUCUCACAGUGAUCAAACGGAGAUGAGCUGAUCGAGCAACUUA
rnacentral:rRNA from 1 species